CACAUGUAAUUGGGUUCAUCAGUAACUAUCUAAGAAUUGCUGUUCGUUGCAUUGUUCCUAGCCGUGACAGUACUCAUUGAACGGGACUAGAGCAAGGGCGUGCUAUGUUAUUGGGUGAAUCCAUGUCCAUGAUAGUCCAGUACCCUGAAUCUGACCAGAACCAUA